CCAGCACGUAGCAACAAAGACCCAGCACAGCCAAAAAUAAAAACAAAUAAAUUUAAAAAGACGAAAAAAACACAUUCGUCCAAUGGCUUCACCCAUUGAUGAGCAGAGUCAGUUAAUGUUUUGGGGAUUAUAAAAUGGUAGCUUCACUAAUCUAUCAUUCUUUCCACACUUAUUAACUGAAAUUCUGUAAAGAGGACUUCCCUUAAUCUACCAGGGCUAUUUGGUACCUAAAUUACCAAAUUGUUCAGAAAAGGUAGGAUAAUAGAUAAUUCUUUCUUUUCAGUUGCUGCCUUUGUAAGUAAGAAUUAAUGCCUUUGCAAUCUCGAUUGGUGUUUAGUGAAGCUGGGUUUGUUUUUGUUGUCGCUGUUUGCCUUAUUCUCUCUCAUUUAAAAAAUAUCCUUAUGAACUCAUGGCUUUUUAUAUAUUCAGUGAGUGCCAAUUUUUUUAUGCUAAAAUUUCCCCAUCUUUGGCCAGAGGAUUCGUGGUAGCUCCUAAGUCCUUUGGAUAUGACCUAUUAAUUUUGGAAACUUCCCUGUUUUCCAUACGAGAUGUUCCAAAUUCAUCCUGGAGAUUUCCUGCCUCAGAUCUGGAAUCAGACAUUCCUCCAAGAAGCCAUGACUUCUUUUUUAAUCUAAGUGAUUUUUUUUUUCUUUGGGGGUACGUGGGCCUCUCACCGUUGCGUCCUCUCCCCUUGCGGAGCACAGGCUCCGGACGCGCACGCUCAGCGGCCGUGGCUCACGGGCCCAGCCACUCCGCGGCAUGUGGGAUCCUCCCGGACCAGGGCACGAACCCGUGUCCCCUGCAACGCCAACCGGACUCUCAACCACUGCGCCACCAGGGAAGCCCAAUCUAAGUGUUCUUAAAAAUCAACUUUAUUGAGGUACUAGGGGUUAGGAUUUCCAUAUAAGAAUUUUGGGGAGACAUAAUUCAACCUAUAUUCAACAUGGGGAAUUUUUUUAAAUGUUAUGAACAAUAUGAAUUGUUUAACUUACCAGGUUUUCCUUUCAAUAUUGGCUACCAGAAUCAAACUUGAUAAACUUUAAAUUAGAAUUUAAAUGAAAGAAUAUAGUGAAGUAAAGAUCAGGAUCAGGGGGAAAAGACACAGCUUAAUGAUCUAGGCACACUUACAAUAGAAGGACCACAAAUCUCAUUGUUAAAGAAUCUGAAGCCGUAAAUCUUUUUACGCGCAGGCUCAGCGGCCAUGGCUCACGGGCCCAGCCACUCCGCGGCAUGUGGGAUCUUCCCGGACCGGGGCACGAACCCGUGUCCCCGGCAUCGGCAGGCGGACUCUCAACCACUGCGCCACCAGGGAAGCCCCGAAACCACGAUUUUUCAUAGUUAAAUUUACCAUUUUUAUUGUUUCUGACUUUCAUAUCAUACUUAGAAAAUCAUACUUCUCCACCCCAAUAUUUUCUUUAAAAUCUGCCCAUAUUGUCUUGUUACUUUUAUUGUUUUAUUUUAUUUAUUUUUAAAUUGAAGUAUAGUUGAUUUACAAUGUUUCAGUUGUACAGCAAAGUGAUUCAGUUAUACAGAUAUGUGUAUAUAUAUGUAUGUAUAUAUAUAUAUAUAUACACACACACACAUAUAUGUAUUCUUUUUCAGGUUCUUUGGAAGCUACUAUUUUGACUUCUGUCUCUAUAGGUUAGUUUUACCUGUUUUUCAAAAUCUGUACAUGGAUUCCUCCAGUAUGUUCUCUUUUGUGCCUGGCUUCUUUUUGUCAUCAUAAUGACUGUGAGAGUCACUGGUUUCAUAUGGUUUAUUCUUUUUUGUUUUCUUGUAUCUUUCCACUGUAUAAAUAUAUUACAAUUUAUCUAGUCUCCUGUUGAUAGACAUUUGGGUUGUUUCCAUUUUUAGGCUAUUUUGAAUAAAGCCGUCAUAAACAUUUUUUCACUGUCCUUUUAAGUGGCAUCAUCUAUUGUACAGGCACCAUAAAAAAAUAUGGGUUUGUAUUUAAGAGAUAUCAUUACCAUUUACCAUCAAAAGGGUAUCUAAAAAGAAAGAAAACAAAGCUAAAAGUAACUGAGACAUGGCAAGAAAUAAAAUAUAUAAAAUUA